AUUGAACGCUGGCGGCAUGCCUUACACAUGCAAGUCGAACGGUAACGCGGGGCAACCUGGCGACGAGUGGCGAACGGGUGAGUAACGCAUCGGAACGUGCCCAACAGUGGGGGAUAGCCCGGCGAAAGCCGGAUUAAUACCGCAUACGACCCAAGGGUGAAAGCGGGGGAUCGCAAGACCUCGCGCUGAUGGAGCGGCCGAUGUCAGAUUAGGUAGUUGGUGGGGUAAAAGCCUACCAAGCCGACGAUCUGUAGCUGGUCUGAGAGGACGACCAGCCACACUGGGACUGAGACACGGCCCAGACUCCUACGGGAGGCAGCAGUGGGGAAUUUUGGACAAUGGGGGCAACCCUGAUCCAGCCAUGCCGCGUGCGGGAAGAAGGCCUUCGGGUUGUAAACCGCUUUUGUCGGGGAAGAGAUCCCUCGGGCUAAUACCUCGGGGGGAUGACGGUACCCGAAGAAUAAGCACCGGCUAACUACGUGCCAGCCGCCGCAGUAAUAC
rnacentral:rRNA from 1 species